GUGAAUCAUCGAAUCUUUGAACGCAUCUUGCGCUCCUUGGUAUUCCGAGGAGCAUGCCUGUUUGAGUGUCAUUAUAUUCUCAACUCCCCAAUACUUUUGUUGUAAAGGAGAGCUUGGAUUGUGGAGGCUUGCUGGCCACUUGCUUGGGGUCAGCUCCUCUGAAAUGCAUUAGCAGAACCGUCUGCGAUCUGCCACAAGUGUGAUAAAUUAUCUACACUGGCGAGGGGAUUGCUUUCUGUGAUGUUCAGCUUCUAAUCGUCUCAGGACAAUUUCUUGAAUGCUUGACCUCAAAUCAGGUAG
rnacentral:misc_RNA from 1 species